rnacentral:rRNA from 1 species
AAUCUACACCAUAGUCGAAGUGUUCUGGAAAGUUCAACCACAGAAGGUGAUAGUCCUGUAGACGAAAUGGUAGUAGACUUCCUUGAUAGUGUUCCCGAGUACCACGGGGCACGUGAAACCCUGUGGGAAACUGGGGAGACCACUCUCCAAGGCUAAAUACUCUCUCGUGACCGAUAGUGCACUAGUACCGGUGAGGGAAAGGUGAAAAGUACUCCGAGAAGGAGAGUGAAAUAGUACCUGAAACCGUACGCUUACAAGCAGUCGGAGGGGGCUUGUCCCCUGACGGCGUGCCUUUUGCAUAAUGAGCCGGCGAGUUACUUGUAUGCAGCGAGGUUAACUCACUCAGUGAGGUAGCCGUAGCGAAAGCGAGUCUGAAUAGGGCGUCUCAGUUGCAUGCAGUAGACCCGAAGCCAGGUGAUCUACCCAUGGCCAGGAUGAAGCGGGAGUAAAAUCUCGUGGAGGUCCGAACCGCCGAACGUUGAAAAGUUCUCGGAUGAGCUGUGGGUAGGGGUGAAAGGCCAAUCAAACCUGGAGAUAGCUGGUUCUCCCCGAAAUAGCUUUAGGGCUAGCCUCUUGUUAAAGAGUCGUGGAGGUAGAGCACUGGAUCGGCUAGGGGGCUUACCCGCUUACCAAACCGAACCAAACUCCGAAUGCCAUUGACUUGUUGCGAGGGAGUCAGCGUGCGAGGGAUAAACUCCGUACGCGAGAGGGAAACAACCCAGAUCGUCAGCUAAGGUCCCAAAGUGUAAGCUAAGUGAUUAAAAGGAUGUGAAAUUGCUGAGACAGCUAGGAUGUUGGCUUAGAAACAGCCACCAUUUAAAGAGUACGUAACAGUUCACUAGUCAAGUGAUUUUGCGCCGACAAUGUAUCGGGGCUAAGUUUACCACCGAAGCUACGGACUCAACGUUUCGUUCGCGAGACGUUGAUUGGUAGGGGAGCGUUCCAUAGUAGGCUGAAGGUAAACCGUAAGGUUUGCUGGACGAGAUGGAAGUGAUUAUGUCGGCAUGAGUAGCGAUAAUGCAGGUGAGAAUCCUGCACACCGAAAAUCUAAGGUUUCCUGGGCUAGGCUCGUCCUCCUGGGGUUAGUCGGGACCUAAGCUGAGGCCGAAAGGCGUANGCGAUGGAAAACAGGCUAAAUAUUCCUGUACCACUUACAGCGNGUUUGAGCUAUGGGGUGACGCAGAAGUGAAAGGUCAGCCAGCGANUGGAAAUGCUGGUCUAAGCNCGUAGGAGGNNNNUCUAGGUAAAUCCGGANNNNCANUACUCNGAGAGGCGAUGGGGAGCCGCUUAGCGGCAUAAACUGACCCUAAUCANGCUGCCNAGAAAAACCUCUAUGUGANUUCUGUAGGUGCCCGUACCGNAAACCGACACAGGUAGAUGAGGAGAGUAUCCAAAGGUGCGCGAGAAAACCCUCGUUAAGGAAUUCGGCAAAAUGAUCCCGUAACUUCGGAAGAUGGGAUGCCCUCAGUAGGUAAAGCCCCUCGCGGGUGGAGCCCAAAGGGGUCGCAGAGAAACGGGCUGGGCGACUGUUUACCAAAAACACAGGUCUCUGCUAAGCCGUAAGGCAAUGUAUAGGGACUGACACGUGCCCGGUGCUGGUAAGUUAAGAGGAUGAGUUAGUCUUCGGACGAAGCUUUGAAUCGAAGCUCCAGUAAACGGCGGCCGUAACNAUAACGGUCCUAAGGUAGCGAAAUUCCUCGUCGGCUAAAAACCGACCUGCACGAAUCGUGUAACGACUUGGCCGCUGUCUCAACGAGGGACUCGGUGAAAUUGUAGUUCCGGUGAAGAUGCCGGAUACCCGCGGCAGGACAGAAAGACCCCGUGAACCUUUACUAUAGCUUGGUAUUGGAUUUUGACACUGUAUGUGUAGGAUAGGUGGGAGGCUAUGAAGCGGGAGCGCCAGUUCUCGUGGAGCCGUCCUUGAAAUACCACCCUUGCCUUGUUAAAAUUCUAACCUUGGUCCCUUGAUCGGGAUCGGAGACAGUGCCAGGUGGGUAGUUUAACUGGGGCGGUUGCCUCCUAAAAAGUAACGGAGGCGCCCAAUGGUUCCCUCAGCGCGGUCGGUAAUCGCGCGUAGAGUGUAAAGGCAUACAGGGAGCUUGACUGCGAGACUUACAAGUCGAGCAGGUGCGAAAGCAGGGCUUAGUGAUCCGACGGUUGCAUGUGGAAGCGCCGAAGCUCAACGGAUAAAAGGUACUCCGGGGAUAACAGGCUUAUUGCCCCCAAGCGCUCAUAGCGACGGGGCAGUUUGGCACCUCGAUGUCGGCUCAGCGCAUCCUGGGGCUGGAGAAGGUCCCAAGGGUUUGGCUGUUCGCCAAUUAAAGCGCUACGCGAGCUGGGUUCAGAACGUCGUGAGACAGUUCGGUCCAUAUCCGGUGUAUGCGCAGGAAUAUUGAGAGG